rnacentral:lncRNA from 1 species
GAAAAGAAGUUUCUAUGGCCCCCUUGCUCAUUUAACACUGCAUCCGGGUGUCGAUGGAGAUACAGCGACCCUUGCCCACUUAUCACUGUGCUUGGGCCACACAGUGCGCCACUUACGGGUGACGCUCUAGCUUUAGCGCGAUUUCGUUCUGGAUUCAUUUUCAUAAGGAUUCGACGUAACCGAGGAGUGCCAGCUGUCGACUACCUGACGCCCUCCCCCUCCUCCUUUAUCCGGGCUUGGGACCGGCAAUGUAAGUUUCCUCGACCCUAUAAGAAUGCAUUGAAAAAAUUCGAUCUUUAAUUUAAAAUAUUUAUACUAGUAAAAUCUUAUUUUAUACUUGAUGGGGAAGUAAAACAUUAACUCUAAGUGUUUGUUUAAUCUACCGUUUUGACUCGAUAUGCAAACUACGAAACUUUUUUCAACAAUCCAACUGUCAAACUUAUUUGUAAACACUCCGAGAUUGCAUACGUAAAAAAUCGUAAAAAAACAAACAUUUAGAGAUUACAUAACGGAACAAAAGUUUUCGAUGGUUAUAAAUGAAAAUUCACAAUUUAACGGUUAUUUUAGCUUCGAUUUUAAUGAUUUUUUAUAGCUACACUCUUUGACCCCAUAAGAAUGUAAUGAAUAAAUUUGAUCUUCAAUUUAAAAUAUUUACAUUAGUGGAUACCACAAAAUCUUAUUUUAUACUUAAUGGAAGUAUAACAUUAACUUUAAGUGUUUAUUUAAUCUACUGUUUUGAUGCGAUAUGCAUUUUAUGAAGUGUUUUUCAAUGAUCCAAUCGUCAAACUUGUUUGUACACACUCCGAGAUCGCAUACGUAAAAAUCACAAAAAAUAAACAUUAAGAGAUUAUGUAACAAAACAAAAGUUUUCGACUAUUAUGUUGGAAGUAUGCCCACAAAGCCACUCAUUUGAUGUAAUAGCUUUUGGAAUACUUAUUGU